GCCUGGGUGGCUCAGUUGGUUGAGCGUCCGACUUCGGCUCAGGUCAUGAUCUGGCAGUUUGUGAGUUCGAGCCUCGCAUCGGGCU
rnacentral:tRNA from 1 species